UAUUGCACAAUGGAGGAAACUCUGAUGCAGUGACGCCGCGUGCAGGAAGAAGGUUUUCGGAUUGUAAACUGCUUUAGACAGGGAAGAAACAGGACAGUACCUGUAGAAUAAGCUCCGGCUAACUACGUGCCAGCAGCCGCGGUAAUACGUAGGGGGCAAGCGUUAUCCGGAUUUACUGGGUGUAAAGGGAGCGUAGACGGCAGCACAAGUCUGGAGUGAAAUGCCGGGGCUUAACCCCGGAACUGCUUUGGAAACUGUGCAGCUAGAGUGCAGGAGAGGUAAGUGGAAUUCCUAGUGUAGCGGUGAAAUGCGUAGAUAUUAGGAGGAACACCAGUGGCGAAGGCGGCUUGCUGGACUGUAAAUGACGCUGAGGCUCGAAAGCGUGGGGAGCAAACAGG
rnacentral:rRNA from 1 species